UCGGCCGAUACACAGUCGGUGGCUAAGCGAAAGUGAUAAGUAAUCCACCUGGGAGUACGAUCGCAAGGUUGAAACUCAAAGGAAUUGACGGGGGCCCCGCACAAGCGGAGGAGCAUGUGGUUUAAUUCGAUGAUACGCGAGGAACCUUACCUGGGCUUAAAUGUAGAGUGCAUGAGUGGGAAACCAUUCUUUCCUUCGGGACUCUUUACAAGGUGCUGCAUGGUUGUCGUCAGCUCGUNGCCGUGAGGUGUCGGGUUAAGUCCCAUAACGAGCGCAACCCCUACCUUUAGUUGCCAUCAGGUAAUGCUGGGGACUCUAGAGGAACUGCCUACGCAAGUAGCGAGGAAGGUGGGGAUGACGUCAAAUCAGCACGGCCCUUACGUCCAGGGCUACACACGUGCUACAAUGGUCGGUACAGAGGGCAGCUACCACGCGAGUGGAUGCAAAUCUCCAAAGCCGAUCUCAGUUCGGAUCGAAGUCUGAAACUCGACUUCGUGAAGUUGGAUUCGCUAGUAAUCGCGCAUCAGCCAUGGCGCGGUGAAUACGUUCCCGGGCCUUGUACACACCGCCCGUCAAGCCAUGGAAGCUUGGGGUACCUAAAGUUCGUAACCGUAAGGAGCGACCUAGGGUAAAACGGAGU
rnacentral:rRNA from 1 species